rnacentral:lncRNA from 10 species
CAGACGAUGAUUCCGCUCCAAGUACAAGUAACAGCCAAUCAGAUUUGUUUUCCGAAGAGACCACCAGUGACAACAACAAUACCUCGAUAACCACGCCAACUCUUAGUCCCAGCCAGCAGCCGCUUCCGACAGAACUGAAUGUAACUUCACCGAGUAAAGAGGAGUAUACUCACUCUGUUGCCCAGGCUGGAGUGCGGUUGUACCAUCUCAGCUGACUGCAACCUCUACCUCCUGGGUUCAAGUGAUUCUCCUGCCUCAGCCUCCUGAGUAGCUGGCAUUACAGGUGCCUGCCACCAUGCCUGGCUAAUUAGUAGAAACAGGAUCUCACCAUGUUGGCCAAGCUGGUCUCGAACUCCUGACCUCAAAUGAUCUAACCACCUUGGUCUCCCAAAGUACUGGGAUUACAGGCAUGAGCCAC